AGUGGUUCUCACAUGGAAUUACUGGGGUGAGGAUCUGAACAUUCCUGUGGGGAAGGUAGGGAUUUGGGCUGGUGUACGGAUUGUGCUGCCUUAGUGGUAGAAAUGCAGAUACUGCUGUGCAUGUGCAUUGAUGUGACUGGGAAAUCUUGCAGGAAUGUGAAGGAAUAUUAAAUCUUGAGGACAGAUCAGGCACCAGAACAAGGAGUAUGAGCAAGCCAUUAAUAAACUUACAGAAGGGAAAACUGUUGAGCUACUUCAAACCCUGUUACUUCUCCACUGAAAGUUUUGGGACCAGUGGAGCAAGCCAAGAUUCAGUUAUGAUGGGUAAGAGCUUGCAAUAGCUGUCAUUGGACUCAAUGGCUGGGAAAGUCCUUUCAGUUCUGUGUUACUGCAUGUUUUGCUCCGACAGCCAGAUACCUAUCAGCUGGUGAAGACUCUUGGUCAUCACUUCCAGUUUUAUUCAUAAGCUGCAUAAUAAUAAUGAUGACUUUUUUAAUGAUUAUUUCCUUAUAUGGUGAAUGAUGUUGAGGUGACAACUCCUUGUUUACAACGCUGACGAUAACUGGUGUUUUUUCAGUUUCAUUCUCUAGGAAAAUCUGCAUCCUGGCUCUACAAGUGUAUUAGUGCACUCUUAGAGGACUUCUGGGGCUAAGCAAUGGCUAUUCACUUUAGAGAAUGUUUUAAGCAAAUUUCCCAGCUUGCCAGUGGUAAUUUACCAAAUCAAGGGACUAGACAAACAAAAGGAUAAAUUAAUCCCUUUCAUGGGUAUUUUCCAAAAUAAAUGUUUUUGCAUGUAAUGAUUUUAAACUUUCCAAAGAGCCUACAUGUUAAUUUGCUUGCAAAUUUAGCAUUAGCUUACAGAAUGUAUUUAUUCGUAUGCUGCCACAUGUAGAUGUUAAAACUGAUCACAUACUUGUAUAACUCUAAUACUAAUACUGAUUCUUAUCAAGGUGUGCCAGAAAGAGAACAGUGUUAGUGAUCACAAGGGCUCCUAUGGGUGCCGUUGUGCUGGUGCUGCAGAUGGAUGAAAUGCGGGGAUUGAGUGAAUCUCCGGCAAGUGCUACCACUUUUUCAAACUUUAGCCUUGCAGCAAAACCAAAAUUAUACUCUGUCUUUACUGCAAAAAUAAUGUUAUUUUCUUGAGAUGGCAAAAGUGUAUUUUGAGGAAAAUAUUCCCUCCCUAACCUAAUUUUUUUUUGUUCAAAAUUCGUGGCUGUAUCAGAAUAAUUAGGCAUUUGGUAAGUGACUUUAGCCAUUGAUUUUAGCAGUCCCUGCUUAUUUGGACAGGAAAGAGAUUCCUGAAGUGAUAUUUUUUUCUUUCCUUAGGAUGAAAAGGGGUAUGCACAGAGGUUCUUAAAAUAUCAGAUAUAGAAUGUAUUUCUGAAUUAAAGCAGCUCCUCAUUUUUAGCUAAUCCUUGACCUCAGCUGACAAGAGAUGAGGUUGAACCUGUUCCUUGCUCUCCAGUGCCUGUCUCUCCCUUGCGGGCUUGCUAUCAGUAACUGUACAGCAAGUAUGACUCAAAUCCCCAUCUCUGGAGCACUCCGUGACACUUCUGGCACAGCUUCUCCUUCGACAUCCGAGGUAUACCACCUCCCUCUCCCACGUGGAUGUUGAGUGGCACAAAUGAAGCCUUCAACCAUCCUCCUGAUGGGCCAACUGAAAGCACUGGGGAGCAGCCAGCCCCAGCUGCAGAGCAGGGCCGGAUCACAAAGGCCAGACUGAUGGAGAUGAGUGAAGGAGGGCAUCCCUGCCCUGUCCCAUUUAGGAUGAGCAUCUCCCACCUUCUGGAAUGAGCAAGGUACUGGCUAAGGCGAGGAGAGUGCUGUAGUUAACAAAGCCAGGGUGCUCAGCUCUGGCACAGCUGCUCGCAGCUUUCCAGCACGGAAAACCAGGAACCCACAAAGGCAGAAGUCGGCAUUGUCGGAGACAUCAUCGCCCUCGGCACAGAGUGUGUUUGCGGCUGGGAGGGGAGGGCGCCCCACAACGAGGCUCCGCAGGCAUGCUCUCGGAUUGAAGACAAGGGAAGCAUUGGUAACAGAGGUAGUGGGUGACCGUGAGGCAACUUCAUAAUUGACAUAUCUGACGACUCGUAAAGGUUGCAUCCUGAGGAGAUAAGUCCAUUUCCCAGGUUCCUCUGUAGAGAGACUUUCAGAUUCGCUCCUUCCAUUUCCCGCCUGAGCAUGCUCCUCCAUGGACAGGCCAGAGGCAGGGGCGACAGGGCAGUUGCCCUUCAGGUGGACCUGGAGGCUGCAGAGGUGAAUGUAGCUCUUGUGGCAGUGGAUGCAUUUAUGGGGACGUUCCCGGGUGUGAAGACGCUUGUGCAGCUUCAGGUGCACAAACUGGGUGAAUUUGGCUGGGCAGAGCUUGCACUGGUAAGGCUUCUCUCCAGAGUGGAGCCGCAGGUUCAACAGAAGGACUUUGCAGAACAUAAGCUCCUAGAAAUGUUCCUCAGUAAAAUAACAAGGCAUGACAAAUCGGCUUUUGCCAAACCACAGCAGUCACUUCACCAGCCAGUUCAAUUACUUACAGUACCGAAAAAACCAUGGCUGGCUGGGAUGAAAGCUGCCUUCAAAGAGAAGGUAUUCUCCAUCAGUAAACAGAUCAUUACUCAUUAAAUAUACUGCUUAGGAAUAUCUACAACAAAGCAGACUAUUUACUGCAGAUUUCUGUGGCAUUCGGUCUAUGCAAAGCUCCUCUGCUUACAGCUGCACUUUAUAAAAAAAACUGCUGAAGCAAAGCAAAAGGAAGCAAGAGCAGUUGGCUCCAGCUUAAGCUGAAAUGUACUUUAAAGAAAAAAAAAUAAAAAGGAAAAAGAAAUAUUUAUUUAGAAGGAAAUAGAAGCUAGCAUCCAUUUGGCUCAGUUCAGCACAUACACUGUUUAUUUGUAUUCAAAGGCUCGACCUUGUUAUCUGGACAUAAUAUAAUCUGAAGAGUGUACUGAAAGAUGUCUUCAAUAGAAAAAGAAGUAUGCUUUUAUCUCAUCUCCCACAGUUAAUAGUUAUAUAAUCACAAAAUGAUGUCUUGUAAGAUAUUUUAUUACAGGGCAAAAACUACAAGAAGGUUUCAUAUUCAUGCUUAGUUAUGUGCAAAGUUUUCCAUCAGGAGGUACAAGUCAAUGCCGCUAAGUAUGCAACUUGAAAGUAUCACAGCCCUGCAGCCAAGUUUCUGCUUCUGUGCCUGACUGAUCUUACUUCACUAACUGAGGUGAGAAACUCUUAUUUCUGAUCUUUGGAGGACCAGCUGAACCCAGUGAGGAAGAUGGGAACAGGCAAUGACCACACCACUUUCAACACUGAUUCUUUGCUUGACUAUUCACUACCCUGAUGGAAUCUAUCAUUUGGCAACAUUACCCUAUAAGGCAAAGAAAUGGCCAUUUAUAAAAUGUACCCAAAAAAACCCAGCUGCUUUCAAAGCAUGCUCCUUCUCACAGCAACCCAUUUGUACAGUAGCAUCCUUCUUGAAAUGCUGCUAGACUAGCAUCAAGAAAAUUUAGUUUUGACAUGUGGGCAGUUUGUGUAUUUCCAAGUUGCAAUGAAAUGCUACUGAACAUGGUUAUGUUCAAUAAUAUAUUUAGGAUAAAACAUAGGGUGUGUUGCAAUGCAAGCACAUACGCAUGUAAGUGUGCAGAGAGCUUCCCAAUGUCUUCUUUUGAUGUUAAAGCUUAAUGCAAGGCUGUUUCAGAAAUAAAUGAAUAGUAUGUUGUGUUGAAUGGCAUUAAAAAUCAUCUCCUUUCUUCGAUAGUUUUCUCUGUA